rfam:Ovis aries breed Texel chromosome 2, whole genome shotgun sequence.
UCCCUGGUAGUCCAGUGGCUAAGACUCUACACUCCCAAUUCAGGGGGCCUGGGUUCGAUUCUUCGUCAGGGAA